UAUGCUCCACUGAUGUGCUAAAAUGCUUACAUAUAAUAGGUCUUAAUACUCUACCUCCUGGUUCUCUCUGUGAAAUAGCAGUUAGAUAUAUUUGUUUAAAAUGUAUACAUAAUAUGGUAAUAAAGACUACAGGUAGUCAUUCCUUUGCACAGUUCUGACAUGCAUGAAUUUUAGUUACCACAUUUUAUUUUACCAUGUGUAACAUUUUAUAAUUUUACUUACUGUGAGAUAAGAGAAAAUAUAUAUUGGUCUCUGCCACCAAGUUCCUGGCACAGGGCUCCUGAAACCAUUGUAAUUUCCUGAGUGAAAGGAGUGUCUUUCGUUCUAAUGAGGCAACUCUGGGUGGGCACCUGCAUGAGGGCUGGUCACGGGAAAGAAUAAGUCAUAAUUAGAUGCUUGGAAUUUUCAGCCCCUCCCCCUAUUCUCUUGAGAAGGAAGAAGGGCUGAAAAUAGAGUUAAUUAUCGAUCAUUCCUACAUGAUGAAGCCUCCAUAAAAAUCCCAAUAGUAUGGGGUCCAGAGAGCUUCCAGGUCAGUGAACACAUCCACGUACAAGGAGGGUGACACACAUCAACUCCACGGGGACAGAAGCUCCUGUGCUCCAGACCGUCCCAGACCUCACCCUAUGUAUCUCUUCAUCAGAUCUUUCAAUAAACUAGUAGAUGUCAGUGUUUCCCUGAGUUCUUGCAAACUGUUCUAGCAAAUAAUCAAGUCCAUGGGGCAGGAGGUCAUGGGAAAGUCGAUUUGUAGCCAAGUCACACAGAAGUUGUGGAUAAGCUGGGGUCCUACUACUUGCGAUUGACAUCUAAAGUAGGGGCACUCUUGUGGGACUGAGCCCUUAACCUGUGGGAUGUGAUGCUAUCUCCAGGUAAUAGUGUCAGAAUUAAAUAGUAGGAUGACACCCAGCUGGUGUCGCAGAAUUGCUUCAUGUGGGGAAAAAACCCCACAUGUUUGGUGGCCGGAAGUGUCAGCAGUAAAGCGUCCUGUGUGAAAGUAAAGGAGAAGGGCACAGGAGGAGAACUGAAGGUUUCUGCAAUACAGUCACCAAGUGUAUUAGUUUCCUAGUGCUGCUGUAACAAAGUGCCACAAACUGAGUGACUUAAAACAACCGAAAUUUAUUCUCUUAGAGUUUUUCUGGAGGUAGAAGUCUGGUGUCGGCAGAGCCCUCAUUCCUUGCCCCUUAGAGCUUCUGGCAGCCCCAGGUGCUCCUUGGUUAAUAGCCACAUAACUCCAAUCUCUGCCUCCAUCUUCACACGAUGUUCUUCCUACCCAUCUUCACGUUGUCUUCUUACAAGGACAUGAGUCAUGCUGGAUUAAUGGCCCAUCCUAUUCCAGGAUGACCUCAUCUGAACUAAUUACAUCUACAACAACUCUGUUUCCAAAUAAGUUCACAUUCUAAAGGACGAGGGGUUAAGACUUCAAAUUAUUUUUCAGGAUCACCAUUCAACUCACAGCACAACGGUUUCACUAAAUAACACCAGUCCCCCAACAACAUGUUUCACAUUUCAGUUACCAUGGUAUAUUAACUGUGAGUAAUUGCAUAAAGUAAAAACCGUGCUGAUAGCUUUUGUUAAAAACAAGGCAACGGGCCCCAAAUGGAGUUGUUUAUUCUAAGCCCCAGAUCACCAAGCUGAGACUUGACCGAAUUACAGUUUCAGCUCUCCCCGAAAUGGAAUCUUAAACCAGUCAGUCAGGGAUCAGCUGAUAGCACUAGUUAGUAAUCUGCUGAUAGAACCCUGCCAUCUCCCAAAGGAAAGUAACCUUGCUGUAACCAACUCACUUUUUUGCCUAGUAUAACUUCCUUGUUCCUGCUCCCUUCUGCCUAUAAAAGUCUUUCAUUUUGUACCGCUCCUCAGAGCUCCUUUCUGUCUGUUAGAUCGGAUGCUGCCCGAUUCAAAUUGAUUUUUGUUCAAAUAAACUCAAAAUUUUUAAUAUACCUCCGUUUAUCUUUUAACAGUCUUCAGCACAAAAAUCACUAUGUAAAUAACAGACGCACAUCAUCAUCAGUGACCAAUCACGUCACUUCUUCAAAGUCUGUCGGUGACGGAUCACUGCGCAUAUCAUAGGAGUAGCAUUGCAAUAAGCAGCUAACACCCUUAAUGCUACAGAAACCAAGGAAAGAGGUUGGAAUUAUUAAAACUUAAAAGUUUAGAGAAAACUCCAUGUAGAGCUAAAAUCUAGACUUCUGAGGAAUAGGCGCUGAGGGGGCCGCAGUCAGUUGCUGCUGGUGUCUCUGAGGGUAUUGGAGGCAAAUUAAGUUCAUUCUGCUACUGCUGGGAAGUCUGCAAACUAGAUUCAGCUGCUUCUACAAGCAGGCACUGCUGCUGCCAGGGUGAAGAAGCAUUGUUGGGGUGAUGCUCACAGGAACCACAAGGAGACAGGAAGCAGACAGGAAGUGCCAUCCAAACAGAUGUGAGGUGAUAUCUCAUUGUGGUUUUGGUUUGCAUUUCCCUGAUGAUUAGCGAUGCUGAGCACCUUUACCUUGAUGAAUUUUGAAGAGGGGAGACACUUGGACAAUAAGCAACCAUCAUCUGGGUGUGGCUCCGUUUGGUGCUUGACGACUCACUCGUCUCCCUCUGCUGGCCGAAUGAAGCAACGCGUCACCAUGUCCGAAGGCCUUUAGAGCAUGUCUCAAUUAUACGUGGAAGCACGAAAACCAGGCUGCUUUCCUAAGAAGCGUCCUCAAUACCUUGUUUCUUCUGCAUUUUAUUUGCUUUACCCAUGUGCAUAGUACAGGGCUGUUUGAAAGAGGACCACAGAUGUUUUGCUUCUAUAGUAUUACAAGGGGUUAAUUAGAAAUUAACGAUUUAAAAUUGGCCCCCAAAUCUGAAAGCAGAACCAAAAAGGUGGUUGUUUCUCCUAGGUUAAAAGCCAGAGUUAAAUUGCUCAUUUAAGUGUUUAGUUUCAGUAGAGCAUAAAGCCCUGGAAAAAAGCCAAUUAUAACAGUAGAUCUGAAAAAAGCUAUUUUUAUUCUCAAGAGGGGGAAGGCUGGCCUUGCCUAAGUGAGUCCGUAAUCUGAGAAAGACGGGGGUUUGGGCUAAGAUAAUCUUUGAAAGGUUUGUAAAAAACGUGAAGCCAUUGAUUGAAUUUGUUUUCAUGAGAUUUAAAAAUCUUCAGUAAUUACUGUGGGAAGAAAAAGCGGUGUCUGCUCUGUUGAGGUCAAGUAACCCAGACCGCCUUCUCGUGGUUAGAUCAGCUCUCACUGUGGGGUCUUCACACCUACCACUUCACAUGCUGAAAAUGCUGCUCCCUCUCCCAGCUCCUCCUACUCCUUGGUCAGACCUCCCCUUACCUGUCACCGCCUCAGAGAAGCCUUCCUGAACACUUGGUCGGAAGUAGAUUCUUUACGCUGUGUUAUCUUCUCCAGGGCAUCCUCUUUUCCUGUUGCAGUACCACGAUGACUCACAAUUAUAUAUAUAUGUGUGUUUUCUUGUAUAUUCUCUUUCACCCUCACGAGCUUUCUAAAUCCCCUAAGGGUCAUAGGCUGUCUGAUCAGAACUGUAUAACCAGUUUUUGGAAUAGUACUUGGCAAAAAGUAAACAAGGAAUAAAUAUUUGUUGAACAGAUAAGUUAAAUUCAGAUACUGUAUCUCGAUCCCCAGUUUACUACUUUCUGGAUUCUUCUUUCAUAUCUUGUAGCUUUUUCAAGACUUAGUCUGUGUUCUUUUUCUCUUGUGAACUCUCAGUAACAGCUGAUUUGUUUUAGGAUUCCUCUUCCCAUAAUGCGAGAGCCACUGAGUGUAAUGGAAUCUUCACGGUUCCUAAAAAAAAAGAGAAAUAGACUAAUCCUGUAAUUCUUACAGUCUGUGUUUUCUCAUCUGUUGUACUUCAUUUUAUUCUGAGAUGGGGUCCCCCUGGGCUUUGACUUCUGAGUCUGGAGUUGUCCACAUGGUGCUCCCUCCCCUCCCACCAAAACCUUCCCUCCAACUGGGGAAAGGUGUACGAUUCCCUCUUCAGAAAAGUCUCUUCCUCCUGUCCAGAGACAGACUCCUCCAAGCAGAGGUUUAAAUUCCCUGGAAUUUCAAGUAGGCGAUUUGCAUUUCUGAGAACCUUUAGACUAGAUGUCAGUCAUUUCUUUGGACUUCAAGCCCAACACAAGAGUAAUCCCUCCGGGGCAUUUCUUUACCUAGGCAAAAUAGCUGUUAUUACUCUGUCCCGAGAGUUGUGCUAGGGUUUGGAGGACUUUUGUGACAUGUGGCUUUAUUCUGUAUUCAUUGAAAGAUUUUGAUUGAUGGUUAUGUAACUGUUAGAAUUGCCCUAGCUGCCUACAAAAUGCUGUGACUUUCUCUCCUUUUAACUGGUAUUGGGUAAUAGUUAAGAGACUAAACAUGAAGGUCAGAAAAACUCAAAGCUCUAAGGUCUUGGUUUUCUCACCCAUUUUGUUUUUCCUCUACAAAAAGGGGCUGUCACUUUACAAACUUGUAAUAAUCGUUAUAUAGCAUUUAUAGAGCAACUACAUUAUGCUAGGUACUGUUCUAUAUAUAUAAUACUACUGUCAUAUAUUCACAUAUGAAAUAUCUGAUUUUAUAUACAAAUAAAUUUAUGUAUAUUUAAUUCCAGGCCCCCUUUGGGAUAGGUACUAUUGUCCUUGUUUUACUGUGGAGGACAUGGAGGCACAGAGAGGUUAGAUAUUCUGGAGAAAGAUUCAAAUCUGUGUGAACACAUCUGCUAAGUGAUCCACUAUUUUUUUGUGGCUUCUUGUGAUGGAGGGGUGAGCAUGAUUCAAGGUCUCCUUCUCUAGACUGCUGUGUGCUCUGAGAGGCAGAGGCUGGCCUAUAUGAACUGUACCAACAAGCUUCCUUGCUCUCUGGCUUCCUAUUGGAUCUGGCCAGGGGGGAGCAUCCAAAGGACAUCAGAGGGCAGGAAAAGACAUGGAGAGACCGUCUGCCUGUGACCAUCCUGGACAACGCCUGCUCGUCUCUCAGCAUCUCCGCUCAGUCCUGCUUCCUUGGUGAAGUCUUCCACAACUCCCAAGGUGGAGAGUUCGGAGCCUUGAUCCACGCUGAAUCAGUUUGACUUCUGGAGGGACUGGAGACUGAAUAAAGGCAGUCACGUGGGUGCUCUAUGCUGCUGUGACCAAUCUCUAAUAGAAACCAGGGACGCCAAGGCUGAGGAGAAGACAACCACACCCUCACUUCUGGAGGUAGAUCGUCAUUAGUUUAAGCCAAUCAACAGAUGACAUUCCUCUGGCUACAAUUGGUCCAGGGACUUAAAAAGGAAGCCUAUACUCCCAGUUGCCCUUGGCAGUCAUCUUUCAACUACAAGGGGAACCAGCCAUAGGAUGAACCCUAUGCCAAGAGGAACAGACACCUGAGACCUUGAUUAUGUCGUUGAGCUCCACCUGGAGCCUACAUUAGGAGGACUUCCUGUUAUAUAGAGUGUUAUGGACUGAACUGUGUUCACUCCAAAUUUGUAGGUUGAAGUCCUGAUCCCUAGUACUUUAGAAUGGCACUGUAUUUGGAGAUAAUUAAGGUUAAAUGAAGUCCUAAGGGUGGGCCCUAAUCCAAUAUGACUUCUGUCCUUGUAAGAAGAAAGAGAGACACUAGGGAUACAUGAGCACAGAUGAAAGGCCAUGUGAGGACACAGCAAGAAGAUGGGGACCAUCUGCAAGCCCAGGAGAGAGGCCUCAGGAGAAACCAGCCCUGUUGACACCUUGAUCUUGGACUUCCAGCCUCCAGAGCUGUGAGGAAUAAAUUUCUGUUGCUUUAGCCCUCCAGUUUGUGGUGUUUUGUUUCGUUAGCCCCAGCAGACUAAUACAUAAGGUAAUACAUUUUCUCACUGCUUAAGAAAUGUUGAGUUGAGAUUUUCUAUUACUUGCAGCCAGAAUCAUUUUGACACAGGAUAUUCGUGAUCUCCUUCCCUGCCCCUUUCUGCAAGUCUUUUUUUUUUUUUAAGAUUGUCACCGGAGCUAACAUCUGUU